rnacentral:rRNA from 1 species
UACGGGGGGGAGCAAGCGUUGUUCGGAUUUACUGGGCGUAAAGGGCGUGUAGGCGGUCUGCUAAGUCUGAUGUGAAAGCCCGGGGCUCACCCCCCGGAAGGGCAUUGGAAACUGGCGACUCGAGUCCCGGAGAGGAGAGUGGAAUUCCUGGUGUAGCGGUGAAAUGCGUAGAUAUCAGGAAGAACACCCGUGGCGAAAAGCGGCUCUCUGGAACGGUACU